AUGCUGCUCUCCAGCCUGCUGUGGGUGUUCUUGACCAUCAUCUACUCUGGAUACACUGUGGCCCAAAAAGUGACUCAAGUUCAGCCUGCUGCAUCGAGGCCAGAGGGGAAAGCAGUCACUCUGAACUGCUCCUAUGAGACAAGUGUACGCUUUUAUGAUUUGUUUUGGUACCAGCAACUUCUCAGUGGAGAGAUGGUUCUACUUAUUCAUCAGGGUUACUCUGGUGAUCAUGCAAAUACUGGACACUAUUCUGUCGAUUUUCAGAAAGCAGCUAAGACAAUCACCCUCACCAUUUCAGCCUUACAGAUUGAAGAUUCUGCAAAGUGUCUCUGUGCUCUUUCAGAACACACAAUAGUUGAAGUGACAGUAAAAGCUGAACAAAAACUCAGGAGCUCUGUAAGAGACAGGCCCUGCUCCAGGAGUCUAGCUAAGACUCACACCUGCAAAUCCCAGAUCAGAAGGGAGCAUGGUGGUUGCUUCAUCUGUGGUCUGGAUCAGAAGAUUAAGUUCUAA